GAUGAACGCUGGCGGCGUGCCUAAUACAUGCAAGUCGAGCGAACAGACGAGGAGCUUGCUCCUCUGACGUUAGCGGCGGACGGGUGAGUAACACGUGGAUAACCUACCUAUAAGACUGGGAUAACUUCGAGAAACCGGAUCUAAUACCGGACAAUAUAUUGAACCGCAUGGUUCAAUAGUGAAAGACGGUUUUGCUGUCACUUAUAGAUGGAUCCGCGCCGCAUUAGCUAGUUGUUAAGGUAACGGCUUACCACGGCAACGAUGCGUAGCCGACCUGAGAGGGUGGUCGGCCACACUGGACCUGAGACACGGUCCAGACUCCUACGGGAGGCAGCAGUAGGGAAUCUUCCGCAAUGGGCGAAAGCCUGACGGAGCAACGCCGCGUGAGUGAUGAAGGUCUUCGGAUCGUAAAACUCUGUUAUUAGGGAAGAACCAAUGUGUAAGUAACUAUGCACGUAUUGACGGUACCUACUCAGAAAGCAACGGCUAACUACGUG
rnacentral:rRNA from 1 species